rnacentral:ncRNA from 1 species
AACAGGGGUGCUGGCGCGCGGCCGGCUGAGAGGGAUUUCAAAACGAGCCGGGAUCCCAACCCUCGAACCUGAUCCGGGUAAUGCCGGCGGAGGGAGAACGG